AGUCCAGACUCCUACGGGAGGCAGCAGUGGGGAAUAUUGGACAAUGGGGGAAACCCUGAUCCAGCGACGCCGCGUGAGUGAAGAAGUAUUUCGGUACGUAAAGCUCUAUCAGCAGGAAAGAAAAUGACGGUACCUGACUAAGAAGCCCCGGCUAACUACGUGCCAGCAGCCGCGGUAAUACGUAGGGGGCAAGCGUUAUCCGGAUUUACUGGGUGUAAAGGGAGCGUAGACGGCAGCGCAAGUCUGGAGUGAAAUGCCGGGGCCCAACCCCGGAACUGCUCUGGAAACUGUGAAGCUGGAGUGCAGGAGAGGUAAGCGGAAUUCCUGGUGUAGCGGUGAAAUGCGUAGAUAUUAGGAGGAACACCAGUGGCGAAGGCGGCUUGCUGGACUGUAAAUGACGCUGAGGCUCGAAAGCGUGGGGAGCAAACAGGAUUAGAUACCCGAGUAC
rnacentral:rRNA from 1 species